GACGAACGCUGGCGGCGUGCUUAACACAUGCAAGUCGAACGAGAAUCUGCGGAAAGAGGAUUCGUCCAAUUGAAGCAGAGGACAGUGGCGGACGGGUGAGUAACGCGUGAGGAACCUGCCUUUCAGAGGGGGACAACAGUUGGAAACGACUGCUAAUACCGCAUGACACAUCGGAGUCGCAUGGCUCUGAUGUCAAAGAUUUAUCGCUGAAAGAUGGCCUCGCGUCUGAUUAGCUAGUUGGUGAGGUAACGGCCCACCAAGGCGACGAUCAGUAGCCGGACUGAGAGGUUGAACGGCCACAUUGGGACUGAGAUACGGCCCAGACUCCUACGGGAGGCAGCAGUGGGGAAUAUUGCACAAUGGGCGAAAGCCUGAUGCAGCAACGCCGCGUGAGUGAAGAAGUAUCUCGGUAUGUAAAGCUCUAUCAGCAGGGAAGAAAAUAGACGGUACCUGACUAAGAAGCCCGGCUAAC
rnacentral:rRNA from 1 species